UUUCAUUUUGUAAUGGAACUUGUGUCCUGACACAUGCAGAAACUAGUGGAAGAACUUUUGAAAAAUAUCGAAGCCAGCUUAAAAAGGGAACUCUACUAUUGGCACGCUUAUUAUGACAAAAGACUCCCACCUGGAACUAUAGCUUUAAACAAGUUAGCUGAAUUUGUGGCCAAGUUUAUGAGCAUAUACAGAAAGAGCUGUGUCAGCAGGCCAUAUAUGUGAGCAGAUAUGGACUUCUCAUCUUAAUCUGCUAAAUCAAAAGGAGAAUGGAAUUUCAGUAUAACGGUGAUGCGGAGUCCGAGGUUCUCAAUGGGAUCAUCAACAUUGAGCACACCUAUGUAUGAUGAA